rnacentral:rRNA from 1 species
UGCAGUUAAAAAGCUCGUAGUUGGAUUUCGGAGUGGGCCAGUUGGUCCGCCGCAAGGUGUGUUACUGACUGGCUUGCUCUUCUUCGCAAAGACUGCGUGUGCUCUUGAGUGAGUGUGCGUAGGAUUUACGACGUUUACUUUGAAAAAAUUAGAGUGUUCAAAGCAGGCUAUUGCUUGAAUACAUGAGCAUGGAAUAAUGGAAUAGGACUUUGGUCCCAUUUUGUUGGUUUCUAGGGCCGAAGUAAUGAUUAAGAGGGACAAUUGGGGGCAUCCGUAUUUCGUUGUCAGAGGUGAAAUUCUUGGAUUUACGAAAGACGAACAACUGCGAAAGCACUUGCCAAGAGUGUUUUCAUUAAUCAAGAACGAAAGUUAGAGGAUCGAAGACGAUCAGAUACCGUCCUAGUUCUAACCAUAAACGAUGUCGACUAGGGAUCAGCGGGCGUUAUCGUACGACCCCGUUGGCACCUUACGGGAAACCAAAGUUUUUGGAUUCCGGGGGAAGUAUGGUUGCAAAGCUGAAACUUAAAGGAAUUGACGGAAGGGCACCACCAGGAGUGGAGCCUGUGGCUCAAUUUGACUCAACACGGGAAAAACUUACCA